rnacentral:piRNA from 1 species
UGACAGUAGCUGCCAUUUUGCCAAUCUCCU